CAGAGACUGCAAGCGUUAUUCGGAUUCACUGGGCGUAAAGGGUGCGCAGGCGGCCGAGUGUGUGAGGCGUGAAAGCCCGGGGCUUAACCCCGGAAUUGCACCUCAAACUACACGGCUAGAGCAUUGGAGAGGGUAGCAGAAUUCAUGGUGUAGCAGUGAAAUGCGUAGAUAUCAUGAGGAAUACCAGAGGCGAAGGCGGCUACCUGGACAAUUGCUGACGCUCAGGCACGAAAGCGUGGGGAGCAAAAGGGAUUAGAUACCCCUGUAGUCCACGCCCUAAACGGUGCACACUAGGUCUUGGCGGAUUCGACCCCCCCAGGGCCCAAGCUAACGCGUUAAGUGUGCCGCCUGAGGACUACGGCCGCAAGGCUA
rnacentral:rRNA from 1 species